GAUUGGGACAAGGGUCAUUCUGGAUAACUUCGAGAUAUUUUAUUUUCUAAUUCCCUUGAUUGUAUUCGUACAAGUUUUGUUUGAAUAAAUUGUCUCACAAAAAAAAAGUAACACAAUUCCAAAAUGCCCCUGACUAUCGGCUUAUGUCCUGCCAAAUUGGAGAGAGAAUUAUAAGGUUCUUCUUAGCUCUCAUCCCAAAUUUCUUUCUUGAAUA
rnacentral:lncRNA from 1 species